rnacentral:rRNA from 1 species
GGCUCAGAACGAACGCUGGCGGCGUGCCUAACACAUGCAAGUCGUGGGAGAAACUCUCCUUCGGGAGAGGAGUAAACCGGCGCACGGGUGAGUAACACGUGGGUAACCUGCCCUGAAGUCUGGGAUAACCCACCGAAAGGUGGGCUAAUACCGGAUAGUUCCCUGCCUCACAAGAGGCAGGGGGAAAGGGGGCCUCUGCUUGCAAGCUCUCGCUUCAGGAUGGGCCCGCGGCCUAUCAGGUAGUUGGUGGGGUAAAAGCCUACCAAGCCUACGACGGGUAGCUGGUCUGAGAGGAUGGUCAGCCACACUGGCACUGAGACACGGGCCAGACUCCUACGGGAGGCAGCAGUGGGGAAUAUUGGGCAAUGGGCGAAAGCCUGACCCAGCGACGCCGCGUGGAGGAUGAAGGCCUUCGGGUCGUAAACUCCUGUCAGAGGGGAAGAAGGCAUAGAGGGCUAAUACCCCUUUAUGCUUGACGGUACCCUCAGAGGAAGCACCGGCUAACUACGUGCCAGCAGCCGCGGUAAUACGUAGGGUGCGAGCGUUGUUCGGAAUCACUGGGCGUAAAGCGUGCGUAGGCGGCCCUGUAAGUCCAAUGUGAAAGCCUUGGGCUCAACCCAAGAAUUGCAUUGGAUACUGCAGGGCUCAGAGUGCGGGAGAGGCAAGCGGAAUUCCCGGUGGAGGGGUGAAAUCCGUAGAUAUCGGGAGGAACACCGGUGGCGAAGGCGGCUUGCUGGAACGCAACUGACGCUGAGGCACGAAAGCGUGGGGAGCAAACAGGAUUAGAUACCCUGGUAGUCCACGCCCUAAACGAUGGACGCUGGGUGUCGGGAGGUAACCUUCCCGGUGCCGUAAGCUAACGCGUUAAGCGUCCCGCCUGGGGAGUACGGCCGCAAGGCUAAAACUCAAAGGAAUUGACGGGGGCCCGCACAAGCGGUGGAGCAUGUGGUUUAAUUCGAUGAUACGCGAAGAACCUUACCUGGGCUUGACAUGCUGGUGGUAGUGAACCGAAAGGGGAACGACCUGCUCCCUUGUGGAGUAGGAGCCAGCACAGGUGCUGCAUGGCUGUCGUCAGCUCGUGUCGUGAGAUGUUGGGUUAAGUCCCGCAACGAGCGCAACCCUCGCCCUUAGUUGCUAACGGGUAAUGCCGAGCACUCUAAGGGGACCGCCAGGGACAACCUGGAGGAAGGUGGGGAUGACGUCAAGUCAUCACGGCCCUUAUGCCCAGGGCUACACACGUGCUACAAUGGGGUGUACAAAGGGUUGCAAUCCCGCGAGGGUGAGCUAAUCCCAAAAAGCACCCCCCAGUUCGGAUUGCAGUCUGCAACUCGACUGCAUGAAGCCGGAAUCGCUAGUAAUCGCAGGUCAGCUACACUGCGGUGAAUACGUUCCCGGGCCUUGUACACACCGCCCGUCACACCAUGGGAGUCGAUUCCACCGGAAGACGGUGGGCUAACCGAGCCCUCACUUAAGUUUAUGGACUUUGGAUUUUAUUCUAAGUAUUAUUUCUUUACAAAAUACUUCUUUGGAGAUAAAGAGUCUGUAGACUGAAGUGAGGGCUCGGAGGCAGCCGUCCAUGGUGGGGUCGGCGACUGGGGUGAAGUCGUAA